GACGAACGCUGGCGGCGUGCUUAACACAUGCAAGUCGAACGGAAAGGCCCCUUUUUGGGUGGUCAAGUGGCUAACGGAUGGGUAACACGUAAGUAAGCUGCCUUUGACGUAGUGAGAACUUCAGCUAACUGGGGCGAAUACCUGAUAGGAAGCCUUGCUGCUUGGAGGGGGUUGGAGAGCGUCUGCGGUUGUGGAUGGACUCGCGGCUUAUCAGCUUGUUGGUGGGGGAGUGGCUUACCAAGGCUUUGACGGGUAGCCGGCCUGAGAGGGCGAACGGCCACAUUGGGACUGAGAUACGGCCCAGACUCCUACGGGAGGCAGCAGUGGGGAAUAUUGCACAAUGGGCGCAAGCCUGAUGCAGCAACGCCGCGUGCGGGAUGACGGCCUUCGGGUUGUAAACCGCUUUCAGCAGGGGCGAAGCUUGUGGUGACGGUACCUGCAGAAGAAGCACCGGCUAACUACGUG
rnacentral:rRNA from 1 species